UUUUAUAUGAAUUAAAAAAAAUAAAGUCCCUAGAUUUACAAAGCACCGCGGUUCAUGACGCCUGUUUUCAAGCCAAAAUGGCGGUUUGACAGCUUGUCACUGCAUCUCACCACGUAUUUACAAA